rfam:Camelus ferus unplaced genomic scaffold scaffold1842, whole genome shotgun sequence.
GAGGGUAUAGCUCAAGUGGUAGAGUGCGUGCUUAGCGUGCACAAGAUCCUGGGUUCAAUCCCCAGUACCUCCU